AGAGUUUGAUCAUGGCUCAGGACGAACGCUGGCGGCGUGCCUAAUACACGCAAGUCGAGCGGGGGUUUUCGAACCCUAGCGGCGGACGGGUGAGUAACACGUAGGCAACCUGCCUCUCAGACCGGGAUCAACAUAGGGAAACUUAUGCUAAUACCGGAUAGGUUUUUGGAUCGCAUGAUCUGAAAAGGAAAGAUGGCGUUUGCUAUCACUGGGAGAUGGGCCUGCGGCGCAUUAGCUAGUUGGUGGGGUAACGGCCUACCAAGGCGACGAUGCGUAGCCGACCUGAGAGGGUGACCGGCCACACUGGGACUGAGACACGGCCCAGACUCCUACGGGAGGCAGCAGUAGGGAAUUUUCCACAAUGGACGAAAGUCUGAUGGAGCAACGCCGCGUGAACGAUGAAGGUCUUCGGAUGUAAAGUUCUGUGUCAGGGACGAAUA
rnacentral:rRNA from 1 species